rnacentral:rRNA from 1 species
CGCGUAGGCGGCCUUCUAAGUCGAACGUGAAAUCCCCGGGCUCAACCCGGGAGCUGCGUCCGAUACUGGAAGGCUUGAAUCCGGGAGAGGGAUGCGGAAUUCCAGGUGUAGCGGUGAAAUGCGUAGAUAUCUGGAGGAACACCGGUGGCGAAGGCGGCAUCCUGGACCGGCAUUGACGCUGAGGCGCGAAAGCCAGGGGAGCAAACG